CCUACGGGAGGCAGCAGUGAGGAAUAUUGGACAAUGGGCGCAAGCCUGAUCCAGCCAUGCCGCGUGCAGGAUGACGGUCCUAUGGAUUGUAAACUGCUUUUGCACAGGAAGAAACAACGCUACGUGUAGCGUCUUGACGGUACUGUGAGAAUAAGGAUCGGCUAACUCCGUGCCAGCAGCCGCGGUAAUACGGAGGAUCCAAGCGUUAUCCGGAAUCAUUGGGUUUAAAGGGUCCGUAGGCGGUCUUAUAAGUCAGUGGUGAAAUCUCCCCGCUCAACGGGGAAACGGCCAUUGAUACUGUAGGACUUGAAUUAUUAGGAAGUAACUAGAAUAUGUAGUGUAGCGGUGAAAUGCUUAGAGAUUACAUGGAAUACCAAUUGCGAAGGCAGGUUACUACUAAUGGAUUGACGCUGAUGGACGAAAGCGUGGGUAGCGAACAGGAUUAGAUACCCUGGUAGUCCACGCCGUAAACGAUGGAUACUAGCUGUUGGGUGCAAAACUCAGUGGCUAAGCGAAAAGUGAUAAGUAUCCCACCUGGGGAGUACGUUCGCAAGAAUGAAACUCAAAAGGAAUUGACGGNNGAGAGAGCGAGAGACACGAGGGAGAGG
rnacentral:rRNA from 1 species